UCGGCGUACAGAAUGCUUGUUUCCACAAAGCAGAGGCGUGAAGCGUGGCUAGAUGGACACGCUGAUUCGUCAAAUUCAGAUGAAGAAAAGAAGGCGUGGACUAGCCCGUGGAAAACUCAAGUGCCAUCUACAGUUAAGAUAUUUCUUUGGAGAUUAGCACAACAAUCUCUUCCCUCUGCUGAUUUACUGCAUCACCGAAGUAUGUCAACUAAGUCAGCUUGUGGAAUUUGCAGUUCAGAAGAUUCUUUGCAACAUUCCCUUCUCCACUGCCAUAUGGCGAGGUGUGUUUGGGCCCUUGAAGAUCCGAACCUGGUCGAGGCUAUGGAGAAUAGCAUAGAACCGGAUGCCAGAAGGUGGCUGUUUGCACUGAUCGAUGGACUACCUCACGACGAUUUUAUCAGGGUUGUGAUCACCAUGUGA
rnacentral:rRNA from 1 species